AAGGUCUCUCUCCAGAGUACUUCAGAUCAUUCUAAUAGCAGCAUCAUUUCCACCAGGAACCCAGCUUCUACCAGAAAAGAGUGCUGGGAAAUGGUGCUUCUGGACCUCCUUGACUCCAGCUUGCCAGUUAUACAUCUCAUCUGGACCAGAGUUGCGGUGAGAGUACAGUGGAGGAAAGGUACUGCCACUCUGUCAAGAACCGGCUAUGGAUCUAACAUACUGGGGAAACCACCCACUCCAGCAGAAUGAUGCAACUUGAAAUUCGUACCAAGUCUUCAGAAAACCUGUUUGCUUUCCUUGGCAGUGCACCAGCCUGACUCCAUCUAAACAAUGGUCUUCUCUUUAA